UACACUCCUACGGGAGGCAGCAGUGGGGAAUAUUGCCCAAUGGGCGGAAGCCUGAUGCAGCAACGCCGCGUGCGGGAUGACGGCCUUCGGGUUGUAAACCGCUUUCGCCUGUGACGAAGCGUGAGUGACGGUAAUGGGUAAAGAAGCACCGGCUAACUACGUGCCAGCAGCCGCGGUGAUACGUAGGGUGCGAGCGUUGUCCGGAUUUAUUGGGCGUAAAGGGCUCGUAGGUGGUUGAUCGCGUCGGAAGUGUAAUCUUGGGGCUUAACCCUGAGCGUGCUUUCGAUACGGGUUGACUUGAGGAAGGUAGGGGAGAAUGGAAUUCCUGGUGGAGCGGUGGAAUGCGCAGAUAUCAGGAGGAACACCAGUGGCGAAGGCGGUUCUCUGGGCCUUUCCUGACGCUGAGGAGCGAAAGCGUGGGGAGCGAACAGGCUUAGAUACCCCGGUAGUCCCA
rnacentral:rRNA from 1 species